UAGGGAAUCUUCCACAAUGGACGAAAGUCUGAUGGAGCAACGCCGCGUGAGUGAAGAAGGGUUUCGGCUCGUAAAACUCUGUUGUUAAAGAAGAACAUAUCUGAGAGUAACUAGUUCAGGUAUUGACGGUAUUUAACCAGAAAGCCACGGCUAACUACGUGCCAG
rnacentral:rRNA from 1 species